AUGGAUUAUGGGAGUGUGUGACUUGAACUAUUGAUUGGUCUGUGUAGAUAUAUGCCUGCCACAUGGGAAUUCACAACCAAAUGUGUCUUUGUUCCAAUCGCCGUGUAAGCCCUAUACAGAGGAUAGGCUGGUUCGCUUAAAGAGAAUCUUUUCUAUGAUCAGGUCCGAAUCAUGUUGUACAUGAGCAGGCUCCGUAAGAUCCAGUAUAAGUGAACUAGAUAAAACGGAAUCAAGAUUCCGUUUUAUCUAGUUCACUUAUAAGAUUAAAUAGUAUGUAAAUGUAUUCAUUUCCUCUGCAGUGACACGAUCAAUACUACUAUCGGAGUGAAACAAGGGAUCUAAAGAAGAAGAGAGGCUAGACUAUAUUAGUAACAAGCAAACCUUGUAUGUGUAUCUCCAAAUAUUUUGGAGAUAAAUACCAAUUAGAAGGUCUGAGACGACCCAGAAAGCACUUGAUCAUAUCAUGAUCUGAUUUGUAAGCCUACUUGGGUCUUGAGUAUUUACUUGUAAGAACGGAAUUCUUUGUUUUGUAAUGGAUAGUUGCAACUCCGUAAAAAAGAAUUCAGUCAAAUUUUUCUUACAUUGAACCAUUCCUAUAUCAUAUAUGUGUAUGUGUAAAUACAGGUACCAUAUAUAUAUUUUAUAUGGAUAUAUGGAGUCAUUUGGUUCUUUUUAUUCUUGCUCGAGCUGGAUGAUUAAAAAUUAUCAUGUCCAGUUCCCUCGGGGGAUGGAUCUAUAAGAAUUCACCUAUCCCAAUAA
rnacentral:ncRNA from 11 species